UAGGGAAUCUCCCACAAUGGGCGAAAGCCUGAUGGAGCAACGCCGCGUGUGUGAUGAAGGGUUUCGGCUCGUAAAACACUGUUGUAAGAGAAGAAUGACAUUGAGAGUAACUGUUCAAUGUGUGACGGUAUCUUACCAGAAAGGAACGGCUAAAUACGUGUCAG
rnacentral:rRNA from 1 species